ACCCCUGCCCUCAGCCACCCGCCGCCUCCUCUCUCCUCACUGCCCGAGACCCUGCCUCCUUCGCGCCGAAAACCAGGACUACUGGGCCCUGCGGGACCGCCUGGCACCAGAUCUGGAGACCCGCCCCCCGGCGAGGGCAGCUGGGCCCCUCCCUCCUGGGACCUUGGGGCGCCUCCUCUCGCUCCAGCCUCCCCCUCCUUCCCCCGAGCACUUGAACUCCUUGAGUCACCAGCCUCCGAGAAAGCAAACAUCCUUCGAGAGCCAAACUUUUUCAAAGACCGCCUCCCCUCACCGCUUCCACCCCGCCUUCCGCUCUGCUCCCCUCCGGCCGCUCCCCGACGCCGGGCCGCCACGCUGCCGGGUGCUCAGACCCAGCGCCGGCCCUUGCUGCCCCGAGCCGUGGGCGCCCGUCCAGCUGCGCCGGGCCCUCCGCCACUCAGCCGCCGGACACCGUCCUUUCCUCCCGGCCUCAGGAAGUGGCACUGCCACUCACACCGUAGCAUCAGCCACCAUCGCUGCGUCAGCCUUACUCCUCCCUCGAUGGGGUCUCUAAGCACCGAUCCCCCUGGGCCGCUGCUAACCACCCGCCCAGGCCGACAGCAUCCCCUGCUGGUGGUAGCGGCACGUCCUCUGGCUCCUCAGCCCACGCCCACGCCUGCUCAGAGAAGCACCUGCCUAAAAGCCUCAAGUGGCUUCCCUGUGCAUCGGAUUCGGGUCCAAAUUCCUUGCCAGGCAGGCAAGAGCCCUUACCUUACUCAUCUCUUGCCCCUCCUUUUCCUCACUCUGGACCAAUACUGGUUCCUCAUCUCCGCUGUCUUUCCUUCCUGCACCUUCCUAUCAGCUGUUCCUUGCCAGGCUAACUCUUGCUUAUGCAUCAGCUCUGACUUGGGCAGCACUCCCUCCAGGAAGCCUUCCGGGAUUCACAGUACUGAAUUAGGUGCCCCCUCUUGUGCUCCCGUAGCACUCCUGCGGUAUCCAGCGCUUGCCACACCACCGUGGACUAGCCUGUCAGUUGUCCCCGAGCCCCCGUAA
rnacentral:lncRNA from 1 species